GUCCCCACUGCUCACCUGGCACUUGGCAUCUACUGUUCUAUGUGAGUCAUGCACCCAGGCUGCUGGAAAAGAAGCUGGUCUUAUAGAUGGAAUGUUUUAAAUUGGAUUUCAGGACGAACUUCUUAAUUUUUGAGAUGAUUAAAUGAGAGAAUGAGUGAAGAACAGCAAACAGGCUAGCUCAGCCAAAUUUCCCAGAAUACUGAAGGAACCAAAGCAUAAGAAGCCUAGAAAGAUGGUGGAACUGAAAACUGAGGAAGUUCCAGUCCACUGGGUGAAUCCUAUAUGGAGCAUUUAUGGAAAGACACAAAACAGAAUCAGAAAGCACUGGAAUAUUAAAAUCUAUCUUAGUGAAAGAAGUUCCCACCAAUGAGAUCACAUUGAAGUCUUAAUCUCCAGCUGUUUUGUGUUUAUUGGUCUUAACCUGCUAAUUAAACUGACAACUCCUCAAA